rfam:Streptomyces auratus AGR0001 genomic scaffold Scaffold1, whole genome shotgun sequence.
GGUGCACAUCGCGACUGGCGUACGGGGAAACAACCUCGAGGAAGCGGUGUGCGGGAAACCUCACGAGGUGCCGCCCCGCCUGGGCACCCCGG